GGAUGUGAGGGCGAUCUGGCUGUAACAUCUAUCACCCCAUUGAUCGCCAGGGUUGAUUGGGCUGAUCUGGCUGACUAUGUAGGUGUCCCCUUCCUCCCUCACUGCUCCAUGUGCAUCCCUUCUGAAGCUGUGUGCUCAGUCAAGGAGGACGGCUUUCCCUAAGUCUUUGGUCGAGGGUAUACGAGUAGCUUCCCUGCUAGAACCUCCAAAUAAGCUCUCAAGAAAGUGUAGGAUUUAAUUUUAAAAUACUUUAAUGUGAGACAGAUACAUUGACUAGGUCAAGU
rnacentral:snRNA from 1 species